rnacentral:lncRNA from 7 species
ACAAAGAACUGCUAGAGUCACUGCAUCAUUGCCAGCUGCUUUGAGGAAAUCUUACAAAAAUUAUAGACCGUUUUGCUGGCAGCAACAGCAUCAGCCAGAGAUCCCCUCACAACUUCCUGCUCUGGCAUUCUGCCCUGACGGUCUGGUGAUCUUCACUUUUCUAUGGAUAUUUCCAGCUUGGGAGCUGCACUGGUCACUGCUUUACAGUGAUGCCUAUAAUAAUUGCUGAUUCUGCUGUGAUGAACCUUUAAAAUGUAGAUUGAAAAGUCCUCUGGGUUGAAAAGGCUUAUGGCUGAGUUUCUGAAUCCCUUCCUAUUAGAAUAUCUCACGUCGAGAAAUUACCUCUGAUUAGCAGUUGAUUUAACUCAGUGGAAGAAAAAGAUAAAUAUCUGGAGGACUGGAAUAGAAGGAUGGAAAAUCACAGGAACUGACAUUUCCUUUGUACUGUACAAGCAUGCCUUUCCCCUUGUGUGAAGGAAGUCUGGACUUGACAGCCUUGCAGACCUCAGGAACGUAGUGCAGAAUUAAAUCAGACCCUCCAGUAGUCCACAGUUGAAGUUCUGAGAUUGGUCUGAAUUUGAAUACCAAAAUAACAGUGACAUUCUGAUGAGGGACUCAGCCCUUUCUGUCUGUGGAAAGCAUUCAAAAAUAACUUUGUCCAAGAUUUUUAAAUCAAAAAGUAAUAAUUUUGUAAUGACACUUAAUUUUUCUCAAGAUCCAUUGUGAAUGUGCCAUUGCACAAGUCAGCCUUUCUAGUAGUCUUAAAAAUACACUAAGUUUCCCUUGAAACAUUUGGGAAACUUUUGUGGUCUUACUCUAACAAAAAGUGGCAAAAUACCUCUAAGCACUUUGACUUUAAAACAAUGAAGUCAGAAAAGAAGUUAUGUAUGGUUUAUUGCAGAUUUAUGUAUGUUUUAAUGAUUUAUAUUUUCAGAAUGUUAUGAUGGGGGAGAAGGAGCCCUGAGAAAGAUGCUCAUCCCAUCUUCAUUGGGAUGAAAUUCUAUGCUUUUUUGCAUUGUUUUUACCAACUGUGCUCUGUGUUGUUAUGUGAUGGCAAAAAGAGGAACCUAAAGUACUUGCUGUCUCUCCAGAGCAGAGGACCCAGGGAAGUUUCCUCCUGUUGUAGUGAGAUGCUUUCUCAUCUAAUCCAGGUAUGAACCUUUGGAUCUUUGUUAUGGUGAUUAUGGUGAAGUGUGUACAAAAAAUUGCAUGCAUACAGGAUUUGUAAAGCCAUGGAGCGUAACUGGCUAUAUUGUUAAUUUUAUAAUGCAUAGUGAUCACUUGACAUAAACUUAAUUCCAGUCAUGAGUAUCAAUGAAAGUAAAAUUUGUUUGGACCCAAAUGUAAUCUGUUUAACACUGAGGAAACAAAAAAUAAAAGCGUAUUAUC